rnacentral:rRNA from 2 species
CUACGGGAGGCAGCAGUGGGGAAUCUUAGACAAUGGGCGCAAGCCUGAUCUAGCCAUGCCGCGUGAGUGAUGAAGGCCCUAGGGUCGUAAAGCUCUUUCGCCAGGGAUGAUAAUGACAGUACCUGGUAAAGAAACCCCGGCUAACUCCGUGCCAGCAGCCGCGGUAAUACGGAGGGGGUUAGCGUUGUUCGGAAUUACUGGGCGUAAAGCGCACGUAGGCGGAUUAGUCAGUCAGAGGUGAAAUCCCAGGGCUCAACCCUGGAACUGCCUUUGAUACUGCUAGUCUUGAGUUCGAGAGAGGUGAGUGGAAUUCCGAGUGUAGAGGUGAAAUUCGUAGAUAUUCGGAGGAACACCAGUGGCGAAGGCGGCUCACUGGCUCGAUACUGACGCUGAGGUGCGAAAGUGUGGGGAGCAAACAGGAUUAGAUACCCUGGUAGUCCACACCGUAAACGAUGAAUGCCAGUCGUCGGGCAGCAUGCUAUUCGGUGUCACACCUAACGGAUUAAGCAUUCCGCCUGGGGAGCACGGUCGCAAGAUUAAAACUCAAG